rnacentral:rRNA from 1 species
UGACCUGCGGAGGGAUCAUUACACAAAUAUGAAGGCGGGCUGGAACCUCUCGGGGUUACAGCCUUGCUGAAUUAUUCACCCUUGUCUUUUGCGUACUUCUUGUUUCCUUGGUGGGUUCGCCCACCACUAGGACAAACAUAAACCUUUUGUAAUUGCAAUCAGCGUCAGUAACAAAUUAAUAAUUACAACUUUCAACAACGGAUCUCUUGGUUCUGGCAUCGAUGAAGAACGCAGCGAAAUGCGAUAAGUAGUGUGAAUUGCAGAAUUCAGUGAAUCAUCGAAUCUUUGAACGCACAUUGCGCCCUUUGGUAUUCCAAAGGGCAUGCCUGUUCGAGCGUCAUUUGUACCCUCAAGCUUUGCUUGGUGUUGGGCGUCUUGUCUCUAGCUUUGCUGGAGACUCGCCUUAAAGUAAUUGGCAGCCGGCCUACUGGUUUCGGAGCGCAGCACAAGUCGCACUCUCUAUCAGCAAAGGUCUAGCAUCCAUUAAGCCUUUUUUUCAACUUUUGACCUCGGAUCAGGUAGGGAUACCCGCUGAACUUAAGCAUAUCAAUAAGCGGAGGAAAAGAAACCAACAGGGAUUGCCCUAGUAACGGCGAGUGAAGCGGCAACAGCUCAAAUUUGAAAUCUGGCUCUUUUAGAGUCCGAGUUGUAAUUUGCAGAGGGCGCUUUGGCUUUGGCAGCGGUCCAAGUUCCU